AUUGAACGCUAGCGGCAGGCCUAACACAUGCAAGUCGAGCGAGCGGCGGACGGGUGAGUAAUGUCUGGGGACUGCCCGAUAGAGGGGGAUAACUACUGGAAAUGGUAGCUAAUACCGCAUACUAUCGGAUAACCCCUAGUGGAGUAGCUAGUAGGUGGGGUAAUGGCUCACCUAGGCGACGAUCCCUAGCCGGUCUGAGAGGAUGAGCAGCCACACUGGAACUGAGACACGGCCCAGACUCCUACGGAGGCAGCAGUGGGGAAUAUUGCACAAUGGGCGCAAGCCUGAUGCAGCCAUGCCGCGUGUAUGAAGAAGGCCCUAGGGUUGUAAAGUACUUUCAGUCGGGAGGCGUUACCGACAGAAGAAGCACCGGCUAACUCCGUGCCAGCAGCCGCGGUAAUAC
rnacentral:rRNA from 1 species